CAGUAGCCACGGGAAUACGUAGGUGGCAAGCGUUGUCCGGAAUUAUUGGGCGUAAAGGGCUCGCAGGCGGUUUCUUAAGUCUGAUGUGAAAGCCCCCGGCUCAACCGGGGAGGGUCAUUGGAAACUGGGAAACUUGAGUGCAGAAGAGGAGAGUGGAAUUCCACGUGUAGCGGUGAAAUGCGUAGAGAUGUGGAGGAACACCAGUGGCGAAGGCGACUCUCUGGUCUGUAACUGACGCUGAGGAGCGAAAGCGUGGGGAGCGAACAGGAUUAGAUACCCGUGUAGUCCCUGUCUCUUAUAA
rnacentral:rRNA from 1 species